GGUUGGUCCAAGUAUAUUGACGUUUACAACUAACUGAUCAACACUAGUUACAGAUUUCUUUGUUCCCUCUCCACUCCCACUGCUUCACUUGUCUAGCCUUAU
ensembl:Y_RNA Y_RNA Y RNA